AGUGGAUGGGGAGCAACCUAGUUGUGCGUGUGUAAAGGUAGUGCCAAGAAAAGCGAUGAUCAUGUUGAAAAUCAAUUCCCGGUACCCGAAACCGACACAGGUGGGCAAGUAGAGAAUACUAAGGGGCGCGAGGUAACUCUCUCCAAGGAACUCGGCAAAAUGACCCCGUAACUUAGGGAGAAGGGGUGCCACCGAGAGGUGGUCGCAGUGAAGAGGCCCAGGCGACUGUUUAGCAAAAACAUAGGUCUCUGCAAACUCGAAAGAGGAGGUAUAGGGGCUGACGCCUGCCCAGUGCCGGAAGGUUAAAGAAGUUGGUCAGUUUUAGGAUGAAGCUAGCGACUGAAGCCCCGGUGAACGGCGGCCGUAACUAUAACGGUCCUAAGGUAGCGAAAUUCCUUGUCGGGUAAGUUCCGACCCGCACGAAAGGCGUAACGAUCUGGGCGCUGUCUCGGAGAGAGGCUCGGCGAAAUAGGAUUGUCUGUGAAGAUACGGACUACCUGCAUUUGGACAGAAAGACCCUAUGAAGCUUUACUGUAGCUUGGAAUUGGGUUCGGGCUUCCCUUGCGCAGCAUAGGUGGGAGGCGUUGAAGGUAUUCUUGUGGGGAUACUGGAGCCAACGGUGAGAUACCACUCUCAGGAGGCUAGAAUUCUAACUUAAUUAAGGACAGUUUCAGGUGGGUAGUUUGACUGGGGCGGUCGCCUCCAAAAAGGUAACGGAGGCGUACAAAGGUUCCCUCAGACUGGUUGGAAAUCAGUCGAAGAGUGCAAAGGCAGAAGGGAGCUUGACUGCGAGAAGUACAGUUCGAGCAGGGUGGAAACACGGUCUUAGUGAUCCGACGGUGCUGUGUGGAAGGGCCGUCGCUCAACGGAUAAAAGUUACUCUAGGAUAACAGGCUGAUCUCCCCCAAGGGUUCACAUCGACGGGGAGGUUUGGCACCUCGAUGUCGGCUCAUCGCAACCUGGGGCGGAAGUACGUCCCAAGGGUUGGGCUGUUCGCCCAUUAAAGCGGUACGUGAGCUGGGUUCAGAACGUCGUGAGACAGUUCGGUCCAUAUCCGAUGUAGGCGUGAGAAUAUUGAGAGGAGCCUUCCUUAGUACGAGAGGACCGGGAAGGACGCACCGCUGGUGUACCUGUUAUGAUGCCAAUUGUAAACGCAGGGUAGCCAAGUGCGGAGAGGAUAACCGCUGAAAGCAUCUAAGUGGGAAGCCCACCUCAAGAUGAGUAUUCUGGUGUAAGGUCACGGGAAAACGACCCGUAAAUAGGCACGAGGUGGAAGUGCAGAGAUGUAUGAAGCCGAAGUGUACUAAUAGACCGUCGGCUUGACC
rnacentral:rRNA from 1 species